UACGUAGGGGGCCAGCGUUGUUCGGAAUUACUGGGCGUAAAGGGCUCGUAGGCGGCCAACUAAGUCAGACGUGAAAUCCCUCGGCUUAACCGGGGAACUGCGUCUGAUACUGGAUGGCUUGAAUCCGGGAGAGGGAUGCGGAAUUCCAGGUGUAGCGGUGAAAUGCGUAGAUAUCUGGAGGAACACCGGUGGCGAAGGCGGCAUCCUGGACCGGCAUUGACGCUGAGGAGCGAAAGCCAGGGGAGCAAACGGG
rnacentral:rRNA from 1 species